rnacentral:rRNA from 1 species
UGGGGAAUUUUGGACAAUGGGGGAAACCCUGAUCCAGCCAUCCCGCGUGUGCGAUGAAGGCCUUCGGGUUGUAAAGCACUUUUGGCAGGAAAGAAACGUCAUGGGUUAAUACCCCGUGAAACUGACGGUACCUGCAGAAUAAGCACCGGCUAACUACGUGCCAGCAGCCGCGGUAAUACGUAGGGUGCAAGCGUUAAUCGGAAUUACUGGGCGUAAAGCGUGCGCAGGCGGUUCGGAAAGAAAGAUGUGAAAUCCCAGAGCUCAACUUUGGAACUGCAUUUUUAACUACCGGGCUAGAGUAUGUCAGAGGGAGGUGGAAUUCCGCGUGUAGCAGUGAAAUGCGUAGAUAUGCGGAGGAACACCGAUGGCGAAGGCAGCCUCCUGGGAUAACACUGACGCUCAUGCACGAAAGCGUGGGGAGCAAACAGG